rnacentral:sRNA from 1 species
GCUGGGCACGGUGGCGCACGCCUGUAAUCCCAGCCACUGGGGAGGCUGAGACAGGAGGAUUGCAAGUUCAGUGCCAGCCACAGCAAAAACGAGGCACUAAGCAACUCAGUGAGACCCCGUCUCUA